GGGCGUAAAGAGCUCGUAGGCGGUUUGUCGCGUCUGCUGUGAAAAUCCAAGGCUCAACCUUGGACCUGCAGUGGGUACGGGCAGACUAGAGUGCGGUAGGGGAGAUGGGAAUUCCUGGUGUAGCGGUGGAAUGCGCAGAUAUCAGGAGGAACACCAAUGGCGAAGGCACAUCUCUGGGCCGUAACUGACGCUGAGGAGCGAAAGCGUGGGGAGCGAACAGGAUUAGAUACCCUGGUAGUCCACGCCGUAAACGGUGGGUGCUAGUUGUGGGCCACAUUCCACGUGGUCCGUGACGAAGUUAACACAUUAAGCACCCCGCCUGGGGAGUACGGUCGCAAGACUAAAACUCAAAGGAAUUGACGGGGGCCCGCACAAGCGGCGGAGCAUGCGGAUUAAUUCGAUGCAACGCGAAGAACCUUACCAAGGCUUGACAUAUAGAGGAAACGUGCAGAAAUGUACGCCCCGCAAGGUCUCUAUACAGGUGGUGCAUGGUUGUCGUCAGCUCGUGUCGUGAGAUGUUGGGUUAAGUCCCGCAACGAGCGCAACCCUCGUCCUAUGUUGCCAGCACGUAAUGGUGGGAACUCAUGGGAGACUGCCGGGGUCAACUCGGAGGAAGGU
rnacentral:rRNA from 1 species